rnacentral:rRNA from 1 species
GAUGAACGCUGGCGGCGUGCCUAAUACAUGCAAGUCGAGCGAACAGACGAGGAGCUUGCUCCUCUGACGUUAGCGGCGGACGGGUUAGUAACACGUGGAUAACCUACCUAUAAGACUGGGAUAACUUCGGGAAACCGGAGCUAAUACCGGAUAAUAUAUUUAACCGCAUGGUUCAAUAGUGAAAGACGGUUUUGCUGUCACUUAUAGAUGGAUCCGCGCCGCAUUAGCUAGUUGGUAAGGUAACGGCUUACCAAGGCAACGAUGCGUAGCCGACCUGAGAGGGUGAUCGGCCACACUGGAACUGAGACACGGUCCAGACUCCUACGGGAGGCAGCAGUAGGGAAUCUUCCGCAAUGGGCGAAAGCCUGACGGAGCAACGCCGCGUGAGUGAUGAAGGUCUUCGGAUCGUAAAACUCUGUUAUUAGGGAAGAACAAAUGUGUAAGUAACUAUGCACGUCUUGACGGUACCUAAUCAGAAAGCCACGGCUAACUACGUG